UCGCCCUUUUCCGGUUGAUCCCGCCGGACCUGACUGCUAUCGGAUUGAUACUAAGCCAUGCGAGUCAUUGUAGCAAUACAAGGCAGACGGCUCAGUAACGCGUAGUCAAUCUACCCUAUGGACGGGAAUAACCUCGGGAAACUGAGAAUAAUGCCCGAUAGAACAUUAUGCCUGGAAUGGUUUAUGUUUCAAAUGAUUUAUCGCCAUAGGAUGGGACUGCGGCCUAUCAGUUUGUUGGUGAGGUAAUGGCCCACCAAGACUAUUACAGGUACGGGCUCUGAGAGGAGUAGCCCGGAGAUGGGUACUGAGACACGGACCCAGGCCCUAUGGGGCGCAGCAGGCGAGAAAACUUUGCAAUGUGCGAAAGCACGACAAGGUUAAUCCGAGUGGUUUCUGCUAAAGAAACCUUUUGUCAGUCCUAGAAACACUAACGAAUAAGGGGUGGGCAAGUUCUGGUGUCAGCCGCCGCGGUAAAACCAGCACCUCAAGUGGUCAGGAUGAUUAUUGGGCCUAAAGCAUCCGUAGCUCGUUUUGUAAGUUUUCGGUUAAAUCCAUGCGCUUAACGUAUGGGCUGCCGGGAAUACUGCAUAACUAGGAAGUGGGAGAGGUAGACGGUACUCGGUAGGAAGGGGUAAAAUCCUUUGAUCUAUUGAUGACCACCUGUGGCGAAGGCGGUCUACCAGAACACGUUCGACGGUGAGGGAUGAAAGCUGGGGGAGCAAACCGGAUUAGAUACCCGGGUAGUCCCAGCUGUAAACUAUGCAAACUCAGUGAUGCAUUGGCUUAUGGGCCAAUGCAGUGCUGCAGGGAAGCCGUUAAGUUUGCCGNCUGGGAAGUACGUACGCAAGUAUGAAACUUAAAGGAAUU
rnacentral:rRNA from 1 species